rnacentral:rRNA from 1 species
UGGGGAAUCUUGCACAAUGGGGGCAACCCUGAUGCAGCGACGCCGCGUGAGCGAUGAAGCCCUUCGGGGCGUAAAGCUCUUUCGACCGGAACGAUAAUGACGGUACCGGGAGAAGAAGCUGCGGCUAACUACGUGCCAGCAGCCGCGGUAAUACGUAGGCAGCAAGCGUUGUUCGGAGUUACUGGGCGUAAAGAGUGCGUAGGCGGCUUUCUAAGUUCGGUGUGAAAUCUCCCGGCUUAACUGGGAGGGUGCGCCGAAGACUGGGAAGCUGGAGUGUGGGAAAGGCAGGCGGAAUUCCUGGUGUAGCGGUGAGAUGCGUAGAUAUCAGGAGGAACACCGGCGGUGUAGACGGCUUGCUAGACCAUAACUGACGCUGAGGCACGAAAGCGUGGGUAGCAAAC